rnacentral:rRNA from 1 species
GACGAACGCUGGCGGCGUGCUUAACACAUGCAAGUCGAACGGAAAGGCCCUGCUUUUGUGGGGUGCUCGAGUGGCGAACGGGUGAGUAACACGUGAGUAACCUGCCCUUGACUUUGGGAUAACUUCAGGAAACUGGGGCUACUACCGGAUAGGAGCUCCUGCUGCAUGGUGGGGGUUGGAAAGUUUCGGCGGUUGGGGUUGGACUCGCGGCUUAUCAGCUUGUUGGUGGGGUAGUGGCUUACCAAGGCUUUGACGGGUAGCCGGCCUGAGAGGGUGACCGGCCACAUUGGGACUGAGAUACGGCCCAGACUCCUACGGGAGGCAGCAGUGGGGAAUAUUGCACAAUGGGCGGAAGCCUGAUGCAGCAACGCCGCGUGCGGGAUGACGGCCUUCGGGUUGUAAACCGCUUUCGCCUGUGACGAAGCGUGAGUGACGGUAAUGGGUAAAGAAGCACCGGCUAACUACGUG